rnacentral:rRNA from 1 species
AGAGUUUGAUCCUGGCUCAGGAUGAACGCUGGCGGCGUGUCUAAGGCAUGCAAGUCGAACGGACUAAUGCGCGAUUACAUCAAUUGUUAGUUAGUGGCAAACGGGAGCGUAACACAUUGGUAACCUACCUCGAAGUCGUGAAUAAUUCACCGAAAGGUGGACUAAUACACGAUGGACAAGGGGGGCCGCAAGGCAUUCCCUUGUAAAGAUUUUUCGCUUCGAGAGGGGCCUAUGUCCUAUCAGCUAGUUGGCGAGGUAACGGCCCACCAAGGCUAUGACGGGUACCGGGCGCGAGAGCGUGACCCGGCUCACUGGGACUGAGACACUGCCCAGACACCUACGGGUGGCUGCAGUCAAGAAUAUUCCCCAAUGCACGAAAGUGUGAGGGAGCGACGCCGCGUGCCAGAAGAAGCCCUUCGGGGUGUAAAUGGCUUUUCUGAAGGAAGAAUGUUGACGGUACUUCAGGAAUAAGUGGUUGCUAACUCUGUGCCAGCAGCAGCGGUAAUACAGAGACCACGAGCGUUAUCCGGAUUUAUUGGGCGUAAAGGGUCCGCAGGCGGUUCGAUCAGUCAUAUGUUAAAUCAUUGGGCUCAACCCAAUGGCUGCGUGUGAUACUGUCGGACUUGAGACUGGGAGAGGGACAUGGAAUUGCUGGUGUAGCGGUAAAAUGCGUUCAUAUCAGCAAGAACACCGAAUGCGAAAGCAGUGUCCUGGAACAGUUCUGACGCUCAGGGACGAAAGCGUGGGGAGCGAAUGAGAUUAGAUACCUCAGUAGUCCACGCCCUAAACGAUGAAUGCUAGAUGUCAGGAGUAUCGACCCUCCUGGUGUCGGUUAAAAAAGCUAACGCAUUAAGCAUUCCGCCUGGGGAGUACGGCCGCAAGGCUAAAACUCAAAGGAAUAGACGGGGACCCGCACAAGCAGUGGAACAUGAGGUUUAAUUCGACGGUAAGCGUGGAACCUUACCUGGGCUCAACUACUAGCUGCAUACCCGAUGAAAGUCGGGAGCCUUCGAGGGUGCUAGAUAGGUGCUGCAUGGUUGUCGUCAGCUCGUGCCGUAAGGUGUACCCUUCAGUGGGGUAACGAGCGCAACCCCUAUCGUGUGUUAUAUGUGUCACACGAGACUGCCCUCGCAAGGGGGAGGAAGGCGGGGAUGACGUCAAAUCAGCAUGGCUCUUACGUCCAGGGCGACACUCAUGUUACAAUGGUCGGUACAACGGGUAGCCAAACAGCAAUGUGGAGCUAAUCCCUUAAAGCCGACCUCAGUACGGAUUGGAGGCUGCAACUCGCCUCCAUGAAGCCGGAAUUGCUAGUAACGGCGCAUCAGCCACGGCGCCGUGAAUACGUUCUCGGGUCUUGUACUCACCGCCCGUCACGUCAAGAAAGUUGGUAACACCCGAACGUCGCCGUAGGGCGGCGGAAGGUGGGACUGAUAAUAGGGACGAAGUCGUAACAAGGCAUCCGUAGCGGAAGCUGUGGAUG